UACGAAGGGAGCUAGCGUUGUUCGGAAUCACUGGGCGUAAAGCGCACGUAGGCGACGUGUCAGUCAGGGGUGAAAUCCCCGGAGCUCAACUUCGGAACUGCCUUUGAUACAGCACGUCUUGAGUCCGGAAGAGGUGGGUGGAAUUCCUAGUGUAGAGGUGAAAUUCGUAGAUAUUAGGAAGAACACCGGUGGCGAAGGCGGCCCACUGGUCCGGGUACUGACGCUGAGGUGCGAAAGCGUGGGGAGCAACAGG
rnacentral:rRNA from 1 species